GUGGGGAAUCUUCCACAAUGGACGAAAGACUGAUGGAGCAACGCCGCGUGAGUGAAGAAGGGUUUCGGCUCGUAAAGCUCUGUUGUCGGGGACGAAUGUGCAGUAUUUGAAUAAAGUACUGCAAUGACGGUACCUGACGAGGAAGCCACGGCUAACUACGUGCCAGCAGCCGCGGUAAUACGUAGGUGGCAAGCGUUGUCCGGAAUUAUUGGGCGUAAAGGGAGCGCAGGCGGGAAGGUAAGUCGGUCUUAAAAGUGCGGGGCUCAACCCCGUGAUGGGAUCGAAACUAUCUUUCUUGAGUGCAGGAGAGGAAAGUGGAAUUCCUAGUGUAGCGGUGAAAUGCGUAGAUAUUAGGAGGAACACCAGUGGCGAAGGCGACUUUCUGGACUGUAACUGACGCUGAGGCUCGAAAGCCAGGGGAGCGAACGGGAUUAGAUACCCGUGUAGUCC
rnacentral:rRNA from 1 species